AGGACCAGGUAAAAAAUUGGGAUUUACAAAUUCCAGACCUAAAAAGAAGAAAAAUAUGUAAUUCAAAGAAUGGAUAAUCUUAAAAUGAGGGACCUAUAGAUGCAGAUUGAAACAUCAUCCUGGUAUCCACUUGAAUCUGCAGCACCUCAGAGUGCCCUGGGCUUGAUCCUCUUUGCUGUGAUAGUGGCCCUGGCUCUUCUGACAGGUCUUGGAUUUUGGUUUAGAAAACGCUGGACCCACUGUGAAGCUCUCUGAAGUUCUGGCCCUCUGAAGUGAGGACCCAGUCUACACGUGAACACCACAGGGUGAUGACAUCACUUCAACUCUCCUUGUUAAAACUUUGCAAUUCAUUUCUGCUCCAUGAUCAUUUACCAAUACAUGCUCAAUGUAAUCUUGCAGGAUUUGUUGUUCUGACCUGGCUUCUGUGACUUCAACUUUGAAUGUAACAGGAUGUUAGCAGUGUCAGCCUGGAUAGAUAAAAUGGAUCAUCAGAUGCAUUUCAGCUGUCACAUCCUCCAGGGGUCCUUCCUUGAUCCACAGUGGGAAGCCAUCUCUCCUCCAUCUGUGCUUCCCCAGAUUUCAACUGUGCCCCUCACUGCCUAGCAUCUGUGGCAGGUGUGUAGGUUCAUUUCUUCUUUUAAAAGUUUGAGAGCAAAACACAUGCUUUUUGAGUAUCUGUAUCCCUGGUGAAAUGUUUGGCCUGAAUAUAACAUGUUCUCAAUAAAAACUGUGUUGAUUAUGUAA